GAUUUCUAUUGUAAUCUAGGGUUUGGUUUUGGGGUAAUCUAGGGUUUGGUUUUGGGAAGAGCAGCUGAGAAUGAGUCUAAAUCGGCAAGAAUGAGAAUGGGUUAAUUGGAGAUGGGGGUUUGAGAGUUCUUGGAUGAUGAUAUGAGUUGGGUUGAGAUAGAUUGGCAACCAGAUGAAGAAAUCGAUCGAGAAAAGAUAUUCCAGUUGCAAAGCUGUUGUUGGUAUUGCUACCAGAGAAGCUACAGCAAUGGGGCAAUGGAUUCUGGUGUGUGUGCUCUGAGACUUGCAGGGACUGAAUUUGGGAUUGCAAUUGUUGGUGAUGGCUGAGCAGAUACAUAAGGUCUAGAAGAAGCCCAAUUUGAUGUGGAAUUAAUUCACUAAUAUUCUUUAUUCAGGUUCAUGGAGCACCAGAAGAAGAAUAAAAAACCAGUUAAUCAAUGAGUUUUAAGGUAUUUAUCAUUGACUGUAUGCAAACCUACAAUCCAUCAGCUGAUGUGUACCAGAACCUCUAAGAGCGGCCAAUGAAUAAGAUGAAAAGCAGGGGAUUUAAUUUGUAGGACGCUAAGUAGAAUCAGAAAGAAGAUGAUGAUGAAGAGGAAUAAAAGAAGAACUGAAAAAGGUUUUUGGUUGGUAUGAGUCGUAGUGUAAUUUAUCACCAAGAAUGCAACCAUCACAAAAGAAUAGGAAGGUGAUGAUUAUCCUAUCAGAGCGAUGAAGUUUCCAUCUCUCCCUUCGUCCAUGUUGCUGUGCAGUGUAAGGUUGCCUCUGACCUU